rnacentral:rRNA from 1 species
GAUGAACGCUGGCGGCGUGCCUAAUACAUGCAAGUCGAGCGAACGGACGAUAAGCUUUCUUCUCUGAUGUUAGCGGCGGACGGGUGAGUAACACGUGGAUAACCUUCCUCUAUUACUGGGAUAACUUCGGGAAACCGCAGCUAAUACCGGCUCAUAUUUUCAACCGCUUGGUUCAAAAGUUCAUGACGGUCUUGCUGUCACUUAUAGAUGGAUCCGCGCUGCAUUAGCUAGUUGGUAAGGUAACGGCUUACCAAGGCAACGAUGCAUAGCCGACCUGAGAGGGUGAUCAGCCACACUGGAACUGAGACACGGUCCAGACUCCUACGGGAGGCAGCAGUAGGGAAUAUUCGGCAAUGGGCGAAAGCCUGACGGAGCAACGCCGCGUGAGUGAUGAAGGUCUUCGGAUCGUAAAACUCUGUUAUUAGGGAAGAAAAUAUGUGUAAGUAACUGUGGACAUCUUGACGGUACCUAAAGAGAAAGCAACGGCUAACUACGUG